rnacentral:tRNA from 1 species
UGUAAUGUGGCUCAGUGGUAGAGCACUGAUAUUACACAUUCAAUCCUUGGGUUCAAUCCCCAGCAUUUGAA